AAAGUGAAGAAAUUCAACCAAGCGCGAGUAAACAACAGGAGUAACUAUGACUAUCUUAAGGUAGCUAGAUGCCUCGUCAUAUAAUUAGUGACAUGCAUGAAUGGAUCAUUAACGAGAUUCCCCACUAUCCCUAGCUACUAUAUUCUAGAGAAACCACAUCCAAGGGAAUGGGCUUGGAAAAAUUAGCGGGGAAAGAAGACCCUCAUAUUGAGCUUGACUCUAGUCCUAACUCAUUCAUAGUUUGGGAAAAUUAGGGCAUAGU
rfam:Picea glauca, whole genome shotgun sequence.